rnacentral:rRNA from 1 species
AGUUCGGAUCGGAGUCUGNAACCCGACUCCGUGAAGCUGGAUUCGCUAGUAAUCGCGCAUCAGCCAUGGCGCGGUGAAUACGUUCCCGGGCCUUGUACACACCGCCCGUCAAGCCAUGGGAGCCGGGAGUGCCUGAAGGCCGUGACCGCAAGGAUCGACCUAGGGCAAAACCGGUGACUGGGGCUAAGUCGUAACAAGGUACC